AACGAACGCUGGCGGCAUGCCUAACACAUGCAAGUCGAACGAGACCUUCGGGUCUAGUUGCGCACGGGGGCGUAACGCGUGGGAACCUGCCCUUACGUUCGGCAUAACUCCCCGACAGGGGUGCUUAUACCGGCUAAUGUCUUCGGACCAAAGAUUGCUCGCCUUUGGAUGGGCCCGAGUUGGAUUAGCUAGUUGGUAGGGUAAAAGCCUACCAAGGCGACGAUCCAUAGCUGGUCUGAGAGGAUGAUCAGCCACACUGGGACUGAGACACGGCCCAGACUCCUACGGGAGGCAGCAGUGGGGAAUAUUGGACAGUGGGCUAAAGUGUGAUCCAGCAAUGCCGCGGGAGUGAUGAAGGCCUUAGGGUUGGAAAGCGCUGUUACCCGGGAUGAUAAUGACAGUACCGGGAGAAUAAGCUCCGGCUAACUCCGUG
rnacentral:rRNA from 1 species